CAAACGCGCUUUUCAAAGCACGAUAUCACCUAAAUUAAUAAGAUGCCAUUUGAUGGUCCCAAUGAGAUAAGUCUCGAUUCAACUUCACAAAGACUUAACCCCAUAUCUAUUCAAACAUUUCCAAAUGGUUCUCUCUCUCUCUCUCUCUCUCUCUCUCUCUAAAAUGAUUCUCUCUUACUAGCCCUAAGUAGUCGUGUCUCACUAGCCCUAAAGAGUCGUGGAUGCAACUAGCAAUGAAGACUUCUUGGAGUUUAUAGAUCUACAGAGAGAUUGAUGCUUCUAAUCUCAAUGGUAUCCAAUUGCUCUUGAUUUGGAGUUACUGAGUUCACUUGAGAUAUAGAGCUUUCAUGGGCUUGUUCUUCAUCAAGUCUGAUCUAGACUUGCUAUGAGUUCACUCAAGAUUCAGAGAUUUUCAUCACUACACAGUAACGAUUUGGAUCUGUGUUCCAUUUAAAUAAACUCUUGCUUAGGUUUUGAUUUUCAUCGGUGAUCUAGGUUCUCAUCUGUUCCAUAAACGAUGGCUUGUGCUUGGUUUGGAUGAUUUGGAUCUGAUCUAGGGUUAUGUAUAUCUCAAGUAUGGUUGUUUUAUAUUUUUCAAUUCUAUAAUCGUUUUACGUUUUUCUCUUACUUUUUCUCUAUUUCUUCUCUUUAUUCGAUGAGCUCACUACAUAUGUGUGUUUAUAUAGUUUUAUAUGUUUAUCUAAGACAUCUUUGAAGAACAUUAAUCAUCACUGGUUUUGUUGUGUUUUCUUAAACAAGGAUUAGUGCUUAGAUUGACGACUGGUGUUUUUGGCCAUAUAGCACUUAAAUCUUCUAAUUUGGGCAUCUGUUCUUGACUUCUUUGUGUUUUCUCAGUGAAUUUACUCCAUCAUAGCUAGGGGGAACAUGAUUGAGACAAGAAGUUUCAGGGAGAGAAACAAAUUGAGAAACCAUGUGGGUGAAAGCACUAAAGCUUGGUUAAAUUUGUUUGCUUUUUGUGUUAUUGUUAUCUAACCCUUCCUCUGCUAUCUUAUUAUUUGUUGUGUUUGCAAUUGAAGUAUCUUUCUUCACAUCAUACUUGUAUUUUUUAAUAAUCUUUUUAAUUUAAUUUUUUUGAGAUAGGGAUGCAAGGUGUAGCUGUAAACGAAUAUUUACUUUUGUUAAAAUUUGGAGAAGAUUAUACCUAAGAAAGAUAAUUUUUUAUUUUAUUUUAUUUUAUUUUUUUGUAUGCCAAAAAUAAGAUGUUAACAGAUUAUUUGCAAGAUAGAUUAUUAUUAAUUUCAGAUAUUUUAUUGUUUAUGUUGUAUGCUUAUCUAAGGUUAGGGUGGGAUGACAAAACGAAUUUUACUGAUUUAAUAUACAUGUUCAUUCACAUAUUUGCUUGUGUAAUGCAAGUGGCAUCUACUGAAAUAUGUAGAGUUGAAGAUGUCAUCUCUUUGGAAUCCCAAAUUUGGCUCCAAAUCUUCUAUCAAUUGUUCUUGUAUCAAAGAGGAACACACUCCCAAAGCCUCUGAUUCUGAGGGGGGAGGGGUUAAUUUUGGCCAACAUUCACAGGUAGAUGAUGUGAAUGUAAUAUAUAUGAUUAACUUAAUAGACUUGUCUUUCUUGGAAUCAGAUAGUGGGAGUGUAUAGAGCACAUUGGCUUUGUACUUGUUCAGUUUGCAUGCCCCUCUGAGUUUUGGAGGGUUGUCUGUGGUUGCCCAUGUUUUGCAUUAACAAGUUCUUGAUCCACAUACUGAGAGCCAACAUGAUGAGCUGGAGGCAAAGUUUUUCGAAGAGAUAGCAGCCUUUGAAACUAAAAUACCAGAGCAAACUCCAUAUUUUUUUUUGUUAAAAUGUGGAAAUAUUAGCGAUUUUUAUUUUUUUAUGUUGAGUUAACAUAUUACGUUUUAAGGUUUUUGUUUAUGGUUA